rnacentral:rRNA from 1 species
CACGUAGUUAGCCGGAGCUUUCUCCUUGGUUACCGUCAUUAUCUUCACCAAGAACAGUGGUUUACAAUCCGAAAACCUUCUUCCCACACGCGGCGUUGCUGCAUCAGGGUUUCCCCCAUUGUGCAAUAUCCCCCACUGCUGCCUCCCGUAGGAGUCUGGGCCGUGUCUCAGUCCCAAUGUGGCCGUUCAACCUCUCAGUCCGGCUACCGAUCGUCGCCUUGGUAGGCCUUUACCCCACCAACUAGCUAAUCGGACGCGAGUCCAUCUCUCAGCGGAUUGCUCCUUUGGUACUGCUUCCAUGCGAAAGCUGCACGUUAUGCGGUAUUAGCGUUCUUUUCAGAACGUUAUUCCCCUCUGAAAGGCAGGUUACUCACGCGUUACUCACCCGUCCGCCACUAGGCGUCGAGGAGCAAGCUCCUCUAGCCCCGUUCGACUUGCAUGUGUUAGGCACGCCGCCAGCGUUCGUCCUGAGCCAGGAUCAAACUCU